GUGAGGAAUUUUGCGCAAUGGGGGCAACCCUGACGCAGCAACGCCGCGUGAGUGAAGAAGGCUUUCGGGUCGUAAAGCUCUGUCGAAGCGGGAAGAAGGUGGGCUAUUUGAACAGGGUAGCCUAUUGACGGUACCGCAGAAGGAAGCACCGGCUAACUCCGUGCCAGCAGCCGCGGUAAUACGGGGGGUGCAAGCGUUAUUCGGAAUUAUUGGGCGUAAAGGGCGCGUAGGCGGUUGAAUAAGUCAGAUGUGAAAGCCCUUGGCUUAACCAAGGAAGUGCAUUUGAUACUAUUUGACUUGAGUAUGGGAGAGGGAAGUGGAAUUCCUGGUGUAGAGGUGAAAUUCGUAGAUAUCAGGAGGAACACCGGUGGCGAAAGCGACUUCCUGGACCAAUACUGACGCUGAGGCGCGAAGGCGUGGGGAGCAAACAGG
rnacentral:rRNA from 1 species